ACAUUGACUGUAGCCUAAGUCUUUCAAUGGGCCUGUAUUUUUUAGCUGAACUGACUGCACUAGUUUAGAGUUUAUAUCUUUCUUCUUCCAGUGUAAGAAAGAAAGAAAACUGUAAACUAGUACAAUCAGUUCAGUCAAAAAGAACAGGCCAAAUGAUAAGCUGGAUGCACAAUGAAAAAUACAGGGAACAGGAAAUAGACAACAGAUUUCGACCAAUCAGAAAUAUCUCCGAUAUUCUUUGCAGCUUCUGAUUGGUCGAAAUCAGUUACCUGUGUCUGUCCCCUGCUCUGUUCUUUUUGGCUGAACUGGUUGUAUUAGUUCACAGUUUAUCUUUCUUUCUUACACCGGAAGAAGAAAGAUAAACUUUGAACUAGUGCAGCUAUUCAAUUAAAAAGAACAAACCCUGGUUUUCAUCAUGCAUCCAGCUAUAGACGGGGAAAGGCUAUCUCGGCCUUUUUCGUGGGACCAUCAAAAUUCCCUGUACAUUACUGCCAAUAGAAAGGAAUCUCUGCUCUCCUUUCUGCUUUGACAAGGAUAAGAUGAACAAGGAUGAAUGACCUUCUAUUUUUCAUCACAACGUACGUCGCUACCGUCAACGCGGAGUUCUCAGCUGAGUAUUCAGCCUUAACAAUAUCUCAGCCGUGCUUACAGUAUAUAUACAUUUCUAAAUGUCAAAUAACGACUGUACACAAAUAAUUAAAAAAAAAA